GAUGAACGCUGGCGGCGUGCCUAAUACAUGCAAGUCGAACGGGGAGUACUAACUUCGGUUUAUACUCCUAGUGGCGAACGGGUGAGUAACGCGUUGGUGACCUGCCCCGAAGAGGGGGAUAACAGUUCGAAAGGACUGCUAAUACCCCAUAAGGUCGUACAGGUUAGAGACUGAACGACUAAAGGAGCAAUCCACUUCGGGAGGGGCCUGCGUCCCAUCAGCUAGUUGGUAAGGUAACGGCCUACCAAGGCGAAGACGGGUAGGGGGCCUGAGAGGGCGGCCCCCCACACUGGCACUGAAACACGGGCCAGACACCUACGGGUGGCAGCAGUAGGGAAUAUUGCACAAUAGGCGAAAGCCUGAUGCAGCAACGCCGCGUGCGCGAUGAAGGCCUUAGGGUUGUAAAGCGCUUUUCUGAGGGAAGAGAAAGGACGGUACCUCAGGAAUAAGUCUCGGCUAACUACGUG
rnacentral:rRNA from 1 species